rnacentral:rRNA from 1 species
AUGCCGCCCGCCGAGGACGCCUCCGCUGCCGCCCCCCCGCGGGCGCCGACUCCGCCUCCCGCCCGUGGGAUGGCGGCCGGCUCGAGGCUGCUGCUGCAGUCGCCGCCGCCUGCGUUCCCGCUCGGCUCCAACGACGACCAGCUCGAGCGCGCCCGCGCUCGCGCCAUGGCCCGCGCGGCCUCCGUCCGUCGACGCUCCCUCGCCGCAUCUCUCGCGCCCAAGACCCCGCAUCCCGACCUCCUCAACCGGGACGAGGUCAUGGACCUAUUCCACAACUGCAUCAAGCUCGCCUCGGAGAACAAAAUCAACCAGAAGAAUACGUGGGAGCUGGGGCUCAUCGACCACCUCAGCGAGAUCAUCCUUGCCGGGGAGGAGGAGGACGACGAGACCAACUUCCAGAAAGCUAGCUGCACGCUAGAGGCUGGCGUCAAGAUCUAUUCUCUGCGUGUGGAUUCGGUGCACUCUGAGGCGUACAAGGUGCUCGGUGGGAUCAACCGCGCAGGAAGGGGGGAAGAGGCUGAUUUGGGAGAAGGUGAUGCAGAGCCUGCACAAGAAGAAGGCGUCAACAAAAAAGAUGUUGAUAGGAGGAUUUCACCUGCUUCGACGCUGGAGUCCUCGUUUGAGGCUCUUAAUGUUAAGAAGUUUGAUGCUGCCUUCACGGUGGAUCCUCUAUACCAUCAGACCACUGCUCAGUUUGAUGAAGGUGGAGCAAAGGGGCUCUUAUUGUAUAAUCUUGGAGUAUAUGGCAGUUGUCGUGUGCUUUUUGAUUCGUUUGAAGCGCCAGACAAAUGCAUCUUAUCUGAUCCUGAGAAGGCUGAGGUGAUUGAUCUUUCAUUUGCUAAAGAACAAAUUGAGCAAAUGAUAGUUCACAUGCCUCUACCCAAUGACAUCUCUCCUACCUUGAGGGAUAUCGUGGCUCAGUUUGAUGAAGAAAAUAAAAGGCCCUCACAUGAUGCAUCUCCCGGGCAAAUGCUGGUGAUGGAAGAUCAGGUGGUUGACAGUAAUGAUGACAGCAUGCCACCUGAUUGUGGAACUUGGGAUUUUGGUGGUUGUGAUGAUCAGGACAGUGCAUAUGAUGAAAACUGCAACCCAAUGAAUUUCAACUCAACAAAUUAUGAAGAGGAAACCGAUGACUAUGAGUACAGUUUCCAGGGUCCAGACGGUCCUGAUGUAGAUGAAAGGCUCGAGAAAAUUGCAGAUUUGUUGUCACUUGGUGCGGGAUUCUCUUCCAAAACAAAUGCUUGGGCUGGACCUGAGCAUUGGAAAUAUCGAAAAGUUAGAGAUCUGGAGCCUGCCCAAACUUCUUCUGGUGAUUUGGAAGUAGCAAAAAAGGCAAAGAAGAAGAAAGGCAAAGACGAGCCUGAUAUUGAUUUCACCAAAGCAUUGGAACAUGAGAAGGCAAAUGUUUUUGCACCUCCCAAGAACCCAAAAUCAUUGUUGCUGCCUGCAAAUAAGGGUAGCUGCAACAAUAAACUUCCAGAGGAUUGUCAUUACCAACCUGAAAGCCUUGUUAAAUUAUUUCUUCUUCCAGAUAUUUUGUGUCUGGCUCGAAGAAGAAGAAAACCACUUGAUGAUUCAAGGGACAACAGCGAUGACUUUAUGCCAUCCAGACCUUGGGAUGAUGAUAACCUGGGCAAUGAUCAUGUUGAUGAAGGGGAUGCGGCUAGCGAUGUGGAAGAGCCAGUAAAUCUUAUUGCCAAACCAAGACAGGUCAAUAAGAUUGAUGUACAAUAUGACAAGGUAUCGAAACAAGUCGAUGUUCAUGCCUUAAAGGAAGUGCUCUGGAAUCACAUUCAUACAUCUGCUAAGACUGCUGAUCUGGAAAGAGAUGACAUAGAACCGUCUCUGUGCCUGACGAAGGUACUGCAUGAUCUUCCAUGCAGUAACAGAGAUGUUUCAACGACUGAAAUCUCGCCACACCUCUAUUUCAUUUGUCUCUUGCAUCUGGCAAAUGAACACAGCUUGACGCUGCGCGACCGCCCGACGUUGGAUGAGAUCGACAUAUACAUUCUGACUUCACCGCUUGUGAAGUAA